AACGGUGCGCGGUACGUUUGUAUAAAAAAAUAAAAUGGGUUAUUAUUGCGCCUCGGGAGAUACAAAUAAGGUAACGUGUAGCUCCGAAGAGGAAGGUUAUGAAAAUCAUUCUUCUGGCAGAGAAAAACGAGAUCGCGUUUUGGAAAUAUUCGGAGAAAUUUUCGCUCCGGUUCCAUUGAUUCCGGAUGACACGGAUCGGCAAUUCUGGGCAGAAGACGAAUUGAGCAACUCGGAAUCACGACAGAAAUUAAUUGCGAGGAGGAAGCGGCGACAUAGUACGUCUUACAGAAAUCGCACGGCAAACAGAAGUCGUUCACAAGCUCCACAUACUUCGAGUUCCAGCUCGGAUUCGACUUACGCGGGGACUUCGCGGCCUAAAAUUCGUAGAAUGCGAAGGUAUUGUCGAUAUGAAACCAGAUUGAAACCGGAAACGAAAAAAGCAUCUCAUACGCGCAUCGAGGAAACGCCACGUACAAUGAAUGAAGUCUUCCCAGAAUCAAGUCAAGUCGCAUCCACUUCUGGGCAACAGUCCACAUCUAAUUCGCAACGCGAAGUUCAUCAAGUCACCUCAUCGCGUGCGAAUCAUCAGCAACGAGCGAGUGACGCGAUAUGGCACGUGAGAAAGGCCCAGAGAAGGAGAGUGCGCGAUAAACAAAAAUAAAAUUUACAAUAUUCCAAAAACUAUAUCAUACUGUAAUGAAGAAACUUGUUUAAGUUUUGAAAAAGAGAAUAAAUAACUUCUUGCUGU